rnacentral:lncRNA from 1 species
AAUUUUGGAAGAACAACGAGGAAGGGUCUGCCUUUUCUUCGAUAACCUUUCUUGGUCUUCUGCUGAAUUAUCUUUUAAAAUCAUAACGCUACAAACCAAUACACCAAAAGAGCUCCUAAUAGCAGAACAAUUGCAAUUCACUAAGAUCAAAUUAAAUUUGCUACUACAUCCAAUUAGAGGAAAUCCUGAUAGAAGAACAAGGUUCAGCUCUUAUUAUGUGUGUG